rnacentral:lncRNA from 1 species
CUCUCUAUAUAUAUAUAUAUAGAAUUGAGCUAGAAUAUUGGUUGGUGCUUCUAGGUUUCUAAUCCUUGGAUUUACUCCUUGAUUACUAAUAACUCUUGCAUCAAACAUUAUUCUACCUACCACCACCUACCACCAUCAUUUCAACCCUACAUCUCUCCAUCCAAUGGCUAAAAACUCAAAAGCACUAAGGCACUAAGGGGUAGCCAUUGGAUGGAGAGCUGUAGGGUUGGGAUGAUGGUGGUCGGUGAUGAUAGGUGAAAUAGUGUUUGAUCCAAGGGCUAUUGGUAAUCAAGGAGUAGAUCCAAGGGUUAGAAACCUAAAAGCACUAAGGGGUUGGUUCUUCUAAAAAUAUUCUAGCUCAAUUCUCUCUCUCUCUCUUUCUCUCUCUCUCUAUAUAUAUAUAUAUGCUACUAUACUAUUGAUAGUACCAAAUGUUUGAUACUAUUGAGUUUUUGACCAUUGGAUGAAAGAAUGAGCUUGCGAUUUGGAGUUUAGAAGAAUAUUUGUGCUAGUUUUAAAAAUUUAGAUGAGUGUUAGUAGGUUGGAAUAAUUAGAGGCGAAUUGAUGAUAUUUUAGAUUUUGGAGUGGUAUUUAUAAUAUUUUGAAGUUUAGGGGUAGAUUUGAAAUUUCCAAAAAAAAUAGUAAAACCUUGGGCAUGUUUUGUUUAUCUAUUUUAGACUAUGAAAUUGAAAUAAAAUUCAUUGAUUUUGAUUGUUAUUGUUUGCUUUAUAAGAAUCGUAUUCCGAAUCUCAUUUUAUUCGGAAAUGGGAAUAACCAAAUCAAUUUAUGGUCCAAUCCGACUUUGAAUUCCGGAUUAGCUAAUUUCAAAAUAAACUACUCAAAAUCUUUCUUCAUCAACACCUCUCCCUUUUUUACUUUCCUAUUUCUUAAUUAAAAUUCUCACUCAAAAAUUUUAAAUUUUUAUUCCGAUUUUUAUAUCAAUAAUGAGCUAAACAUUUUUGAAUGAUUCGUCAUUCUAUUUUCUAUUUCAAAACAAUUCAAUUUUAUUUUUUUCAUUUUUAUUUCGAUCAUCAACCAAACAU